rnacentral:rRNA from 1 species
UACAGAGGGGGCAAGCGUUGUUCGGAAUUACUGGGCGUAAAGGGCGCGUAGGUGGCCUUCUAAGUCGAACGUGAAAUCCCUGGGCUCAACCCAGGAACUGCGUCCGAUACUGGAGGGCUUGAAUCCGGGAGAGGGAUGCGGAAUUCCAGGUGUAGCGGUGAAAUGCGUAGAUAUCUGGAGGAACACCGGUGGCGAAGGCGGCAUCCUGGACCGGUAUUGACGCUGAGGCGCGAAAGCCAGGGGAGCAAACGGG